GUUAUAGGGAGAUAAUCAUACCAUCCACUGGCUGUCCACUAGGUUACAGGGAGAUAAUCAUACCAUCCACUGGCUGUCCACUAGGUUAUAGGGAGAUAAUCAUACCAUCCACUGGCUGUCCACUAGGUUAUAGGGAGGUAAUCAUACCAUCCACUGGCUGUCCACUAGGUUAUAGGGAGAUAAUCCUACCAUCCACUGGCUGUCCACUAGGUUAUAGGGAGAUAAUCAUACCGUCC